CAACCUGCCCACCACUUGGGGAUAACCUUGCGAAAGUAAGACUAAUACCCAAUGAUAUCUCUAGAAGACAUCUGAAAGAGAUUAAAGAUUUAUCGGUGAUGGAUGGGGAUGCGUCUGAUUAGCUUGUUGGCGGGGUAACGGCCCACCAAGGCAACGAUCAGUAGGGGUUCUGAGAGGAAGGUCCCCCACAUUGGAACUGAGACACGGUCCAAACUCCUACGGGAGGCAGCAGUGAGGAAUAUUGGUCAAUGGACGAGAGUCUGAACCAGCCAAGUAGCGUGCAGGAAGACGGCCCUAUGGGUUGUAAACUGCUUUUAUAAGGGAAUAAAGUGAGUCUCGUGAGACUUUUUGCAUGUACCUUAUGAAUAAGGACCGGCUAAUUCCGUGCCAGCAGCCGCGGUAAUACGGAAGGUCCGGGCGUUAUCCGGAUUUAUUGGGUUUAAAGGGAGCGUAGGCCGGAGAUUAAGCGUGUUGUGAAAUGUAGAUGCUCAACAUCUGCACUGCAGCGCGAACUGGUUUCCUUGAGUACGCACAAAGUGGGCGGAAUUCGUGGUGUAGCGGUGAAAUGCUUAGAUAUCACGAAGAACUCCGAUUG
rnacentral:rRNA from 1 species